CGGGGGUUGAUAAGGCUGUGCCUACUGGUGGAGGUCUUGAGGUUCAAGCUUCCCGCGCGGUCUCGUCUGUGCGCGCGCCUUUCACCUCGCUUCUUGGGGAGGAGUCUUCCGACGCGGAGGCUCCUGGGGCGAGUCCUGUGCGGGAGGCGAAUCCUGCGCUGGCGGAAAGUCCUGCGCGGAAGGAUUCUGCUGGUGGAGGAUCUCCACCGAAGGAGAUGCAGGGGGAAUCCAGUGAUGAUGCAGAGUCUGCCUCUGUUCGAAGGAUAAAUAGGGCGGAGGCUCCCCCGCGCCCGGCUGGAGAUGGUAUAAACUCGUUGUACAUGGGUAAAGGUUUUGUUUUUGUUGAUUCUUGUUUUUUCUUCAUAUUUUGAUUAACUUGGUCUCAUGUUUUUUUAUAUAUUUUUCAGAGGAUGUUUUUGUUGGGCUUGCCACCGCGGAGGAGUUGGCUAAAGGCGCCAGCAUUGCGCAGGAAGGGCUUGUUGUUCCUCCGCCCCGCUUUCCUGCGCCGUCCGCGCUGGCCAGCAGGCCUUCGCCUGCUAAUCCUGGUGAGUUUUGAAAAUGUCGCUUUUCUUUUUAAAGUUGAGUUGUUUGUCUCUUGUUUGUAUUGAUUGUUCCUUGAUUGUGCGUAGGGGCCUCUGAUCCUUCGAUCACAGGUUGGGUUGAUACCUUGCAUGAAGUUCAUGCACUUGUCGGAGGUUCGCUUUUGGUCCUCCGCCCGUUAUGUUGAUUUUUUCUCAUCUUUUUGCUUACUCUCUUUUGCUUUUCAGAUCGUUUCCGACAGAAGUGUCGUGACAUGGACUAAGUACUUAAUGCUCGAUGUAGCGAAGGCGCUGGUGGAUGUUAGUUUUGCGUAGGCUUGCUGCUCCUUGACCUUAAGGCCUUCGCUUGACUUGGUGCGAAGGAGCCUCUGCUGAAUUGAGCUUAUCUUUGCCUUUGCUCGACUCCCGUGGAGUGUUGUCGAAGGUAUCCUUCGGGUAUGUGAGUCGGAGGUUCUGAGGGGAUGUUACGAGACUUCGUGCGAUGCCCUUCAGAGACCUCCGAUUCUAGCUUG
rnacentral:lncRNA from 1 species